UCCAGGGUAGCCUAGUGGACAUGGCAUCUGCCCGGUAAGCAGAACACUGUGGGUUCGGAUCCCAUCCCUGGAC
rnacentral:tRNA from 1 species